CUGGCGGCAUGCCUAACACAUGCAAGUCGCACGAGAAAAUGGUAGCAAUACCAUGAGUACAGUGGCGCACGGGUGAGUAACACGUGACUAACCUACCUUUGAGUGGGGAAUAACUGGGGGAAACUUCAGCUAAUACCGCAUAAUACCUACGGGUCAAAGAAGCAAUUCGCUUAAAGAGGGGGUCGCGGCCGAUUAGUUAGUUGGUGGGGUAAUGGCCUACCAAGACAGUGAUCGGUAUCCGGCCUGAGAGGGCGCACGGACACAUUGGAACUGAAACACGGUCCAAACUCCUACGGGAGGCAGCAGUGGGGAAUUUUGCGCAAUGGGGGAAACCCUGACGCAGCAAUGCCGCGUGGAGGAUGAAGUACUUCGGUACGUAAACUCCUUUCGAUCGGAACGAUAAUGACGGUACCGGAAGAAGAAGCCCCGGCUAACUUCGUGCCAGCAGCCGCGGUAAUACGAGGGGGGCGAGCGUUGUUCGGAAUUAUUGGGCGUAAAGGGUGCGUAGGCGGUUUGGUAAGUCUCUUGUGAAAUCUCUGGGCUCAACUCAGAGUCUGCAAGGGAAACUGCCGGGCUUGAGUAUGGGAGAGGUGAGUGGAAUUCCUGGUGUAGCGGUGAAAUGCGUAGAUAUCAGGAGGAACACCUGUGGCGAAAGCGGCUCACUGGACCAUCACUGACGCUGAUGCACGAAAGCUAGGGGAGCAAACAGGAUUAGAUACCCUGGUAGUCCUAGCCCUAAACGAUGAUUGCUUGGUGUGACGGGUACCCAAUCCCGCCGUGCCGUAGCUAACGCGUUAAGCAAUCCGCC
rnacentral:rRNA from 1 species